CUACGGGGGGCUGCAGUAGGGAAUAUUGCGCAAUGGGCGAAAGCCUGACGCAGCGACGCCGCGUGCGGGAUGAAGGCCUUCGGGUCGUAAACCGCUUUUGUAGGGGACGAAUUUUGACGGUACUCUACGAAUAAGAGGUUGCUAACUCUGUGCCAGCAGCAGCGGUAAUACAGAGACCUCAAGCGUUAUCCGGAAGCAUUGGGCGUAAAGCGUACCGAUCGGCGGUACCAAAAGUCUGGGGCAAAAUCCAGGAGCUCAACUCCUGGCUCGCCUCGGAUACUGUGGUGCUAGAGGGGCAAAGAGGUGCUUGGAACCAGCGGUGUAGCAGUGAAAUGCGUUGAUAUCGCUGGGAACACCGAUAGCGAAGGCAGAGCACUGGGUGCCAUCUGACGCUGCUAGGACGAAAGCGUGGGGAGCGAAUGGGAUUAGAUACCCUGGUAGUC
rnacentral:rRNA from 1 species